CAUAUCAAUAAGCGGAGGAAAAGAAACCAACAGGGAUUGCCUUAGUAACUGCGAGUGAAGCGGCAAAAGCUCAAAUUUUAAAUCUGAUGCUUCAGGCAUCCGAAUUGUAAUUUGGAGAGACAUCUUCGGGCUGAUUGCUGUCCUAAGUUCUUUGGAACAAGACGUCACAGAGGGUGAGAAUCCCGUAUGUGGGUGGCUUGGUCAGUCCAUGUGAAGUGUCUUCGACGAGUCGAGUUGUUUGGGAAUGCAGCUCAAAAUGGGUGGUAAAUGUCAUCUAAAGCUAAAUAUUGGCGAGAGACCGAUAGCGCACAAGUAGAGUGAUCGAAAGAUGAAAAGCACUUUGAAAAGAGAGUUAAAAAGUACGUGAAAUUGUUGAAAGGGAAGCGCUUAAGACCAGACUCAAUUUGCGGUGAUCAGCAGUGCUUUUGUGCUGUGCACUUGCCACAUUUUGGGACAGCAUCGGUUUGAAUGGUGGGAUAAAGGCCUGGGAAAUGUAGCUCACUUCGGGGAGUGUUAUAGCCUCAGACGUAAUAUCAUCAAUUCAGACCGAGGACCGCGCUUCAGCUAGGAUGCUGUCAUAAUGGUCUUCAGCGACCCGUCUUGAAACACGGACCAAGGAGUCUAACAUCUAUGCAAGUGUUCGGGUGGAAAACCCCUGCGCGUAAUGAAAGUGAACGGAGGUGGGAACCUUUAAGGUGCACCAUCGACCGAUCCAGAUGUUUUCGGAUGGAUUUGAGUAUGAGCAUAGCUGUUGGGACCCGAAAGAUGGUGAACUAUGCCUGAAUAGGGUGAAGCCAGAGGAAACUCUGGUGGAGGCUCGCAGCGGUUCUGACGUGCAAAUCGAUCGUCAAAUUUGGGUAUAGGGGCGAAAG
rnacentral:rRNA from 1 species